AGGAGGAACUCAAGCUCAGCUUCUGCCUCCUGUCUCCUGGGACCCUCGGGCAGCCCCUCCAGCUUCCUGGGAGUCCAAUUUCCCAAGGUAGAACGGUGGCGGCAGAGCCUGGCCCUGUGGUGGGGCAGCUGCACCCCGAUGAGUGGCUUGCAGUUCCUGGAGCCCUGCAGGUUGUUGGAGAGGCAGGGAGCCCUUCUCCCUCCUGCCUGCCCUCUUGCACUUCCUCUCCCAGAACCCAGCACUACUCCCAGAGGCUCUGAGCUGGAGCCCUAGAAGGAGGCGCUGCAAGGCUCCGUGCUCCUGGAGCUUCGAGUCUAUGGUAUGAGUUAAACAGAAGGGUAUCUCCUCCAUCAGAUCUACAGGAGGGUGUCUGCUCCAUCAGACCUGGAGCUUCCAAGGCAUUUUACCCGAAGCUCCAGCACCUGGCCCAAGGCUGGGCUGUGCUGUGUCCUCAGUGAAAGAAUGGAUGAGUCACAGCUGAAUGACUGAAGAGCUGAACCAGUAGGUUUCCCUGGGGUUUCCACAGGCAGUUUCAGCCCAGGGGAAGACCCAGGGAGAUGAGGGCCACCUUGCAGGACGCUGUGGUGUGGAGGCAGCAGCCUGGGGCAGGGACUGUGCUGAGUGUCUGAGGCCGAGCCACCCCUCUGUAACCUCUAUAAUCCAUCAGGUCUCAGAGGGCCGUCCUAUGUUCAGUAAGCCAAUGCUAGCACCAUGUGACGAGGACACAGCAGUGAGCAGCUGCCCAGGCCCCUUGCACUGUGUUUGGAAAAGGAAGCUGGCUUGUUCAGGGGUCCCCAGCAGGAUGGGGGGCGGGGGCAGGGACCAUGGCAGAGCGAGAGUUCUAGGAGAGAAGCUGGUCCACCCACAGGCUCCCUGGCCUGGGUGCUGUACCAGGCAGGGUGCUGGGCAUUGUGCUGCUCACUUCCCACCCCUGGGUUGCAACUGGGGGCUGUGUGGCCUUCCCAGUCCUGUUGUGGGUGCUGUGAUUGUGCCCACCUUACAGAUGGGAAAACUGAUGCUCAGAGGCUUGAGCAACCUAGGCCAGGACCUGUCCUUAGAGGCAGAAGCAGGACUCAGAGGAAGAGCACCCUGACCACAAAGCCCCAGGGUCCAGAAAGACUCAGCCACUGGAGUCUGUAUUUCCUGAGUCGCCUCUCACUGCUGGAGCUGUUUAUCAUCGCUCCAACUUUCACUAAAAAGGAAAAACUAUCACUUAAACAAAGCCAUUGAAACCCCAGCAUCAUGUGUGGAUUUUUUAACAUAAAUAAAUCAUAC
ensembl:lncRNA PRDM16-DT PRDM16 divergent transcript